rnacentral:lncRNA from 1 species
AGAUCUGUUCACAAGUGCCCACAAGAACUGCCCCAGGCCCCAGGGCACAGACCUCCUGAAUCGGGACCUGCCCUCCAGCCAGCCAUCCGCCAUUGCUCCGGACCAUGUUGCUGGCAAGGACAAGCAGAUGGAUUUCUGUUGGGAUCCUUGGCAGAGGUGCUUCCAGACCACCAAUGGCUACAUAUCUGACUCCAGAGCUUGCCCCAGCAACUACAGCGUGGCUGCCCUGGCCACCUCAUCCCUUGUGGG